ACGCUCGACACCUACGGGAGGCCGCAGUUGGGAAUAUUGGACAAUGGAGGAAACUCUGAUCCAGUGACGCCGCGUGAAGGAAGAAGGUCUUCGGAUUGUAAACUUAUUUUGUCAGGGAAGAAAAAAUGACUGUACCUGAAGAAAAAGCACCGGCUAACUACGUACCAGCAGCCGCGGUAAUCUGAGCGGGCUGGCAAGGC
rnacentral:rRNA from 1 species